rnacentral:rRNA from 1 species
CGGAUCGGAGUCUGCAACCCGACUCCGUGAAGCUGGAUUCGCUAGUAAUCGCGCAUCAGCCAUGGCGCGGUGAAUACGUUCCCGGGUCUUGUACACACCGCCCGUCACACCAUGGGAGUCGGAAAUGCCCGAAGUCCGGGACCGCGAGGACCGGCCUAGGGCGAAACUGGUAACUGGGGCUAAGUCGUAACAAGGUACC